GGUGCCAGUGUAGUAACACCAGCAAACAAGACCUCCCACCUUCCCAGUAGUUUCAGUACAAGUACCUAGGGACUAACUCCUUAGUCUAGAUUGGAUUAUGGGCUUAUUCUGCCAAAAAAAAAUGAGUGGUUUUAACUGGCUACAUCUGGGCAUGUGCCUGCCCCAGGAGCCAGUGUUGGGAUUAUCACAUUGAAACCAUGUGUACUGAACUGAAAGCGGAGAAUGGAUGGUUCUUUCAGAGAAAACAUAAGUUCUAUGACUUUAUGCUAGAUAGGCAAAAACAACAGCUGUCACCAUACAUCCCUGUGUCAUAUACUUGUACAUAUGCUUGUAUAUGCCCUCUAUGCAUGCUUACUUAUCACAAAAUAUUUCUGGAGGCCCCUACCUGGAGAGUAGGAGCUAAGCUUGCCUCUCAGAGUCAGCACUGUGGCCCUUUAAUACAAUACAGUGGUGGAUCUCCCAUCUUAAGUACAUUCAUUUGUUCUGGUCGUUGCUAUCAUUUGUUAUAGCGGUCUCUCAGUCCAGAUGACUUCUCUUUUGGAACUAGAUAUCCUUGUUCCAGCCUAGCCAUCUCACGUAUCCUAGCUCCAAGUACC
rnacentral:lncRNA from 1 species